UUCAAAGGCAAAUCUAGAGAAAUCUAGUGACGCAAAACUAUAGGGGCUAAUGUUUAUCUAAACUACGCCAGCCAGCUGCCAA
rnacentral:ncRNA from 1 species